UUGGGGAAAAUCUGUAAACAUGUAAGACGUAAUAUAUCAUAUAAAAGAUAGCAGCAGCCUUGGGCGGGGAGAGAGACGACGGAGACACUGGACAGUGAGGGUGUCAGGAGUGUGUGUGUCUCUGCCUGAGCAGCUGACCAAGGCAGCCGUGGCGGGCGAAGACAAUCUUUUAGAUAGCUAGCAAUAAACUGCCUUGAGACCGAACAACAAGAGGCUGCGGAGUUUUUCUUUGGAAGCACGGGUUGGAGGAGAGACUUUACCACUACACGAGACCCCUGAAUCAAUCCCGGGUUUCUCACACCUGGCGUCCCUUGGCGGGCUUCAGCAAGAAGAACAAGAAGAAACAUCAAUCAGCCUCCAACCUUCAGCAGCAGAAAAGGAAAACAAAAACAGAGAAGAGCAGAGCGCACACACUCUCCACAAAUUCCAAGAAGAGAGGGAGUGAAAGGCUCAAGAUAAGAACCUGACCUUCACCAAGACAACUCGUCUCGGGGACUUUCCAGGGAGGAGACGACCCAGAAGCGCGCCUGGGAUCUCUCACCUGUGACCUGCUGGACAGUGAACAGUGCCAUCUCCGGACCGACCCCGGGCUGACUCAGAUUUUGAGCGAGGACCGAAGUGGGUGUCGGCGAGGCACGUGAAACCUUAUCGGGUGCAGACGCAAGUGGACGUGGACCCGAGAAGCAGAGAAGCAAGCACGCAGACGAAGGCAGACGACGACGCUGCAGACGUCACAUCGGACAACGAUUGAUCACCCAGAGACUUGGGGGGUUUUCUUUUUCCUGGGAAAUCAAGUGUU